rnacentral:RNase_P_RNA from 1 species
AGCAAACCGCCGAUGGCCCGUGCAAGCGGGAUCAGGUAAGGGUGAAAGGGUGCGGUAAGAGCGCACCGCGCGGCUGGUAACAGUCCGUGGCACGGUAAACUCCACCCGGAGCAAGGCCAAAUAGGGGUUCAUAAGGUACGGCCCGUACUGAACCCGGGUAGGCUGCUUGAGCCAGUGAGCGAUUGCUGGCCUAGAUGAAUGACUGUCCACGACAGAACCCGGCUUAUCGGUCAGUUUCACCU